AAAACAUUAGACUGAUGCUAUCUAAGUUUGUAGUUCAGGUUACUUACCAAGUGGUUGCAUUGCUCGUCUUAAACUUUCAUGGGAAGAGUAUACUGCAGUUGAAGAACAACCAUAUGAUUCAUGCCGAUAAAAUCAUAAAUACACUCGUAUUCAAUUCUUUCGUCUUCUGCCAAGUGUUCAACGAGUUUGAAUGCCGUAAUCUGGACCAGUGAAAUAUAUUCACAGGAAUAUUCAAGAACCAUUUGUUCCUCGUGACGGUUGCUUUGACUGUUAUACUUCAUGUAACAGUGACAGAGUUCCUGGGUAUUUUCAUCUCCACAGUUAGACUUGGCUGGAAACAGUGGCUCAUCUCAAUCGGCAUCAGAUUAUUCGGGAGAUGCAAGCACUAAGGAAGCAUGCAAUAUUUGACUCAACUAAUUAUGGGUAUACCGAGAUGGAGUACAAAAAAUCACUUAUCACCCAUGAGCAGGAGGAAACCGAGUUGGAUAGUAACGAUGAAGAAGUUUCUAACUCUGUUGCAUUCUUUGGAAUCACUGAAGAAUGAGAAGAAACACUGGAAGAUGAUUCAAGUGAUGAUGAAGAAAUAACUAAGGAUGACUUAUACAAAGAAAUGACGAAACUGGUUCGAAUGGACAGAUAUUCGUUGGAUGAGAAGAAGCGGCUCGAGAAGGAACUUAGAAAUACUUAGAUACAACUGACAUCUACUCAGCAUCAAUUAUUCCAAAAAGAAGAAGAAACGUCGCUCAUGAGAUGUCAGAUUGAAGAGACCAAGAAAAAUCUUCAUCUUCUUGAAAGUGAAACUGGUAAGUUGGAUCAUCUACUUAGACAGAGAAGGAGUGCACGAGAUCAAUCAGGGUUUGGAUAUGCGGGAAAGGAGUAAUAUCAUCCAACAUUUGUGUCUAGAGAAAAUCUUGAACGAGAAGUACCUGACUUGGUACGAAGUACUUUUGGCGUUGUCAGAAAUACCCCAAGAGUUAAAAUGGAUCUGCGAACCUCUCAGAAGCAAAAAGAGCGUAGAAGCUGCUAUUACUGUGCGAAGAGAGGACAUAUUCGAAGGAAUUGUUAUCAUCUACGACAGAAAAGGAACUCUAAUUGGUACGUUCAUUCAAACUUGAAUCACUCUUAUGUCUCAUCCUUCGAGGAAUCCUAGGUGGAUUCGUAAAUCCGAUUUGUCAUGCAAUGUUGCAUGUGCGCCUGAGCGAACGAGUAGAAACGAUGUCUGGUAUUUGGAUAACGGAUGUUCAAGGCACAUGAGAAUGUCAGAAGCUGUGACAGAUUUUGAAGUAGCUUUGACAAGCGACAGUGUCACAUUCGAAGAUGGAAAACAAGAAAAGAUCAUUGGUAAAAGAACUUUUAAAUGUGUUGGAGUACCCAAGCUAACAGAUGUCAAGGUAGUUCAAGGUUUGAAGACUAACAUGAUCAGUAUAAGUCAAUAUGUGAUAAUGACAUGAGAGUGAAGUUUACAAAGAAUGCAUGUUUUGUGAUCAAUGCGGAUAACAAGUGUGUUUUAACUGAGCAAAGGAUAUCAAACAAUUGCUACACAUGGAUUGACAACAGGAUUUUCAGAAACUCUCUCAAGGAUUCUAAGACACAGACCCGGAAUUGAGCAAUCGAAAGCUCAUGUAUGAUUUUGAAUUUAUGCUUAGACAAAGGGGAAGAAAUGGCUCGAAAGGUACAUGGUCAUAUACACAGGGGGAGAAAUGACUCAAAAAUGGUGUAUGGUUGAAGAUGCUAAGGAAGGAUGAAUGGUCGAAAAUGUUGAGGAUAACACUGAUAAGCCAAGUGGAUGAUUGUGUUUCAUGUGGAUGAAUGCUAUGGAAUGUGUAUAAGCAUAAAGCCAAAAAGGGAGAAUUGUUAAUGUUGGAAAGAGCAUCAAGAGAAGAUUCAAUAUCUAGAAGAUCUCAAGCAAAAAGGAAACAUGUCAAUGCGAAAAAAUGGAAGGAACAACCAGUAAGAGAAUGACUUGCAAGAGAAAAGGAAACAUGUCAUUGAAGAAAAAUGGAAAGAUCAAGCAAAAGGAAUAAAGUUCAAGAAAAGGGAAAAUAAGAUAUUGGGCAAAAUAUUGGAAACAAGAGGAGGAGUUACACAUAAAUACAAGACGUGGGAACUACGAAAAGGUAUCCCAGCAGAACAAAAAAAGAGAGAAAAGAGCAAACGAGCUGGAUAAUCAUAGGUGUGGGAAACACGAGUGAGUGGUACUUGAGAGAGAGUGAAGUGUAUCUGAGGGGGAGUUUUCAAAUAACAGGUGAACCACUCAAAGGGCCUAGACGAGUCUAGCAUUACACGAGGUGUGUGUGACACACAUAGUGUAUGGUCUGAUAUAAUUCAUGUCGUAAGGGGAACAAACUCAGGGGUAGUUAUGUUUUUGGGAUAGAUUAGGUUCGAACGAAAAAGAGUUGUAAUUCAUGUUCUUUACAAAUGAAUAGAAUCAGUUGGAAAGUUUUUUAAAGCAAUAUCGCGUGAGUUUUACUUUUUCAAUAUGUUUAUGUAUAUAUAUCUGAAACAUCAUUCUUUUGUUCUUGUUUGGUGUUUGGUACUUA